UACGUAGGGUGCAAGCGUUGUCCGGAAUUAUUGGGCGUAAAGAGCUCGUAGGCGGUCUGUCGCGUCGGCUGUGAAAACCCGAGGCUCAACCUCGGGCCUGCAGUCGAUACGGGCAAACUAGAGUACUGCAGGGGAGACUGGAAUUCCUGGUGUAGCGGUGAAAUGACGCAGAUAUCAGGAGGAACACCGGUGGCGAAGGCGGGUCUCUGGGCAGUAAACUGA
rnacentral:rRNA from 1 species